CGUUUCUAAUGGCUGUGGAGAUCCAGCUUGAAAGUCCUCUGAGAGUCAUUGGAAUGAAGAGCACUUUGUGAAGCCCUCGUAAUUAUUAUGGGAUUUCGGGGUGUGUGGAAAUGAUUCAUGGAGACCUUUCCCAGCCAGCAGGCUCUUGGAGCCAGGUGAGCUCUUCCCUGGAAUGUGAAGCACGCAGCCCAGCAACUGGGAGGAACAGGUUUGGCAGGACAUUUGAAGUUGUUGGAAGCAGAGAGCUCUACAGAGCCACAUCCCUGCUCUGCCUCCCAGCUGGAUGUUCCUCUCUGCCCCACUGCUGAGCUGGGGAGCAUGGACACGCUGCGCAGGAGCCUGUCCCGAUGGAAAAGGUACCACAUCAAGGUGCACCUGGCUGAUGAGGACACCAUGAUGUCCCUGACAGUCAAGCCCAGAGACACGGUGAUGGACCUCCGGGCUCACCUGGUACGGGAGGGGGUCACUUCAUGGAAGAAGACAUUUUAUUACAACUCCAGGCAGCUGGAAGAACACGAGACUCUCAAAGAAGCCAACAUCCAGAAUGGUUCUGUCCUGCUUCUUGUCAGCAAUCCAAGAUGAUGCCCAAGAGCAGAGCCAAAGCCAC